AAAUGGCCCAUUCCCUUUUGUUUUGGAUUUCCGAUUGGGCCUGGAAGGUUUUGGCCCAAGUAAAUAAGGAAAAAUGGCCCAAUGGUUUGGUCCAUUAAGAAACCAGAAAAUUAUUUUGCAAAUCAGCCCCUGCAUUUUUCCAUAACUGUACUGUGGCCCUUGACAUUUCCAUUCCUUUCAAUUGAGUCCCUGGUUCAAUUGCAAAUGAGUCCCUGAACUUUAUUUUUCUUUAAUUUUGGCCCCAAAAUUUUUGCCAAUCUUUGCAAUCAAGUCCUUUCUUCUCUUGACUUCUUAAAUGUGGGUUGUUGACAUGAUUUAAUUGAUUCAAAUUCAUGUUUAUUUUUAUCCUUUGUGAUUAUUUGUCAAAUAAAUUGGCACAUUGACUCCUUUAUUAUUUUGGAGGGUAAAUAAGUUGAUUUCACUCCAUUAGAGUUUCAUUUCAAGGGAGGUAUAAUUUCUUUUAU
rnacentral:lncRNA from 1 species